UACGUAGGGGGCUAGCGUUGUCCGGAAUCAUUGGGCGUAAAGAGCGUGUAGGCGGUCCGGUAAGUCCGUUGUGAAAGUCAAGGGCUCAACCCUUGAAUGCCGGCGGAUACUAUCGGGCUAGAGUCCGGAAGAGGCAAGUGGAAUUCCCGGUGUAGCGGUGAAAUGCGCAGAUAUCGGGAGGAACACCUAUGGCGAAGGCAGCUUGCUGGGACGAUACUGACGCUGAGACGCGAAAGCGUGGGGAGCGAACAGG
rnacentral:rRNA from 1 species